UUGCAAAGAGAGAGUAUUCUUGACCAUAUUCUUAAAUAAAGUAGCCUGGUUCAUAAAAUCCUCAAAUGUUCAUUAAUAGUUACAAUGAGGACAGAAAUGCAUUACCAUGGAGGGAAAAGAAUAGAGGAGGAAAAAGAAAAUUACAAGAGUGUCGCUCUUAUACAUUUUAUCUUUCUAUCCGGAGGAUCCAAUGAAACCGAAUGGCCAUCUAUCUUCACAGAGCGCAGCACAAGGUCAUGGUUGAUGAUGUGUCAAAACUGAAAACUUGACAAAAUGAAGCCUUAACACCAACAUAUAAGAAGGAUUUCUUUCUCAACAUUUCCCUUCCAAAGAAAUGCUUGCUAGUUAAGACAUCACUUCCACAAUGACACAGAAUUCUCCAACUUUCUCAAACUUCAGCGAAAGGCGUGGCUUGAAAAUCAAAGGCAGCCAAAAUCCCCUUUUGUUUGAUCAAGAAGCAAAUAAGAACUUAUUUUUCAUCGAUGCCAAAUGUUCUCUUCUGAGUUCUCAUGCAUGUUUUCCAGGCAGAAACAGAACAAAUUUAAAAAAUGACAAAAAUACUUCUCGAGGAAUGUCUACCACACCUCAGAAUGCUCCUCAUCCAUGCAAGAAAUUUUCAGUAUCUACCAUCAGAAAGAGAACAACCAAACAACACUCUGCCCUCCUCUGAAUUCUCUGCUACAACAGUAAAGCUGUUUCAUGCAAUGGCUUGUCGCAGCUCUGUUCUACAAUUAAGCAGGAAGUGAGUCUAUAUAUGAUGUCCUAUUAAGGUGCUCCUCUUCUCUGGGAACUUGAAUUGAAGACCCAAAAAUAGCAAUCUUCUCCGAUAAGUUUUGGAGUGCGUCAUGCUUGUUUGCCAAUUCCAUGAGAACUUUGAUCCUCCUGAAAGCAACAUUGCUUGGUUUAUGCCCUUUCUCGAUCAUCUGCAGGAAACACUUCUCUGCUUCUGCCAACCUCCCCAAAUCACACAGUAAAUCAAACAACACAUCAGAUACCAAUGAAUAAGAUCCAAAACCUUUCUCCACCAUGUCAUUCCACAACAGUAGAGCCAGAUCCACCCUCUCUUGCGUCUUGAACAACCUGAUCAGAAACAUACAAGACUGCGUAUUAGGCAAGCACCCAACAUCCAUCAUUCUCCUAUACAAACUCCAUGAGCUCCUCAAGUCAUUUGACCAAUAAAAUACCCUAAAAAACAAAUUGUAAGUAGUAGCAUUCGGACUGAGACCCUUGUCCACCAUCUCAUCCAUCAAACUUGAAGCAUCACCAAGCCUCUUUGCAAUACAAUAAUUCCUAAUAGCAGCAUUAUAAGCUGCAACAUCUGGGUAACAUCCAUACUCCUUCAUUUCCUUUAAUAAACCUCUAGCUUUAUCAGGUUGACCGAUCAACCCCAACCCUCCAAUGAUGCUAGUAUAUGUUAUCACAUCUGGUGAUAUAUCCUCGUCUCUCAUCUUCUCAACCACCUUGUAGGCCUUCUCCAUCUCCCUGCCCUUACAAUACACAUCAAUCAAAGAAUUAUACGAGACAACAUCAGGUUUGAUACCCAAUUCCUUCAUUUCCUCAAAGAAUGACUCCGCUUCCUCUGAUGAUUUCCAACCUGAUAGAAGUAUAUUAAAAGUCUGCAAAUUAGGCCUAAAUUCUUUCUUCAAUGUGUGAUACACAUUUCUAGCAUCAGCCAUACUCUUCUCUUGACACAAAGUCCUCAACAGUGCAUUGAAACAAACCGUAUCAAACACAGAAACCAACUUCUUGAACCUUCUAAAAGAUUCCACAGUUUGCCUAACAGAGCAUAGCUUAGCGACUCUACCCAAAACCACUUGCAUAGUCCGUGAGGAAAUCAAAGACAGGUCUUUCCUCUUCAUUUUAAUCAAAACAUCCCAAAUAAGAUCAAAUUGACGGCCCCUACCUAAUAUAUAAAGCAUGGUAUCUAACGAAUACGAAGUGUGAUAAAACCCUUUUCUGUUGGCAGUGAAUUUAAAGAACUCAAGUGCUUGCAAGGGGUUUCCAUGGCCAAACCUGACCCUUUUGAGAACUUUAUCGAUCAAAUCGUUAUUGAGAAAAAUCCCACUUGAAUUUAAAGAUUGUUUUAGGCUUUGAGAAGAGGAUGAGCUAGUGAUGAUGCGAUAAACGACUUCCACGUCGCGGUCGAUAGGGGCGGGGUUAGUGCAGAAGAAGAGGCGAGAGAGAAGGGGAAGCGGGGUUUUAGUAGCGUACCUUAAAUUCGAUGGAAAUGAGAGAGGGUUAGGAAUCAUUGUUGUCCGUUCGAUUUCCGAGCAUCAGAGUAAUAGUACGAGCGAUAUUUGAUUGGAAUUGCGCCGCUCAGAGAUGCUCAUUCGGCGGAGAAGAGGGGAUCCGCAGCUAUAGAAAUAGCGGAUUGA
rnacentral:misc_RNA from 1 species